GAGGAAUAUUGCGCAAUGGGGGGAACCCUGACGCAGCGACGCCGCGUGAGUGAGGAAGGCCUUCGGGUCGUAAAGCUCUGUCAAGAGGGAAGAAGUGCAUAGUGGUUAAUACCCAUUUUGUUUGACGGUACCUCUAAAGGAAGCACCGGCUAACUCCGUGCCAGCAGCCGCGGUAAUACGGAGGGUGCGAGCGUUGUUCGGAAUCACUGGGCGUAAAGGGCGCGCAGGCGGUUUGGCAAGUCAGAUGUGAAAUCCCACGGCUUAACUGUGGAAGUGCAUUUGAAACUGCCAGGCUUGAGUACCAGAGGGGAAAGUGGAAUUCCCGGUGUAGAGGUGAAAUUCGUAGAUAUCGGGAGGAAUACCGGUGGCGAAGGCGACUUUCUGGCUGGAUACUGACGCUGAGGCGCGAAAGCGUGGGGAGCAAAC
rnacentral:rRNA from 1 species